rnacentral:rRNA from 1 species
GCGCCUUGCCAGCCCGCUCAGAAACUUAAAGGAAUUGACGGGGGCCCGCACAAGCGGUGGAGCAUGUGGUUUAAUUCGAUGAUACGCGAGGAACCUUACCUGGGCUCAAAUGUAUGUUGACGUAUUCUGAAAGGGAUACUUCUUCGGACAAUAUACAAGGUGCUGCAUGGUUGUCGUCAGCUCGUGCCGUGAGGUGUCGGGUUAAGUCCCAUAACGAGCGCAACCCUUGCCUAUAGUUGCCAGCAGUUCGGCUGGGCACUCUAAAGGGACUGCCGGUGUUAAACCGGAGGAAGGUGGGGAUGACGUCAAGUCCUCAUGGCCUUUAUGACCAGGGCUACACACGUACUACAAUGGCCGAUACAAAGGGCAGCGACACUGCGAGGUGAAGCCAAUCCCGUAAAAUCGGUCUCAGUCCGGAUUGGAGUCUGCAACUCGACUCCAUGAAGUUGGAAUCGCUAGUAAUCGUGGAUCAGCAUGCCACGGUGAAUACGUUCCCGGGCCUU